rnacentral:lncRNA from 1 species
CGCAGACCUGGGGUCUUCCUCCUGGGUUGGACCCCUGGGACUUGGGCAAGCCAGAGCUUGGGCUUUUGUACGAGUUUGGGCCUUUUCUACAGUCAGUGACCCUCACUGUGGCCCAAGGAGCAGAACUAGGUAACAGUCCUCCCACUACCAGUGUUCUUUACAUCUUCUGCCUCAGGGCCUGUAAACUCAAGCAGGGCUAAGGUGUGUCUGGCCGCGGGGACAGGCUGAGGGCAGUUCAACACCCAGAUAAAAGGUCCCACGUGCCUCGAAUGAGGAAAGGAAGAGGAGAGCUGAUGAAGAAGGAAUGGGCCAAGCAAGGGACACACAAGCCAUGUGUGCUGAAAGGGAGUUGGAAGAAAAAAAGAUGCAGCUGGAGCCAGAGAAGGCCAGAGACGGAGGCAAGAGCCCAACCCAGCUCUCGCGGGGCGGAGCUACCAAGAGGAGACUGGUCGCUGCGGG